rnacentral:rRNA from 1 species
CAAGACCUUGCGCUUUUGGAGCGGCCGAUGUCUGAUUAGCUAGUUGGUGAGGUAAAGGCUUACCAAGGCUUCGAUCAGUAGCUGGUCUGAGAGGACGACCAGCCACACUGGGACUGAGACACGGCCCAGACUCCUACGGGAGGCAGCAGUGGGGAAUUUUGGACAAUGGGGGAAACCCUGAUCCAGCCAUGCCGCGUGAGUGAAGAAGGCCUUCGGGUUGUAAAGCUCUUUCAGCCGGAACGAAACGGUCACGGUUAAUACCCGUGAUCACUGACGGUACCGGAAGAANAAG